rnacentral:tRNA from 1 species
GGGCGAGUAGAUCAGCUGGAAGAUCGUUACAUUGGCAUUGUAAAGGCCGCGAGUUCGAAUCUCGCCUCGUCCA